rnacentral:rRNA from 1 species
GAUGAACGCUGACAGAAUGCUUAACACAUGCAAGUCGAGGGGGAAGUGGUGCUUGCACCCUGGCAACCAUGGCGGACGGGUGAGUAACGCGUAAGGGACUUACCUGCAGGACUGGGAUAACAGGGGGAAACUCCUGACAAGACCGGAUAAUGUCAUGGAGCUGCAUGGCUUUAUGAUGAAAGGAGACGCCUGCGGAGAGCCUUGCUUCCUAUUAGCUAGUUGGUGAGGUAAUGGCUCACCAAGGCGAAGAUAGGUAGCCGGCCUGAGAGGGUGGACGGCCACAAUGGGACUGAGAUACGGCCCUUACUCCUACGGGAGGCAGCAGUAGGGAAUAUUGGACAAUGGGGGCAACGCUGAUCCAGCAAUUCUGUGUGCACGAAGAAGGUUUUCGGAUUGUAAAGUGCUUUCAGCAGGGAAGAAGUAAGUGACGGUACCUGAAGAAGAAGCGACGGCUACAUCCGU